rnacentral:rRNA from 1 species
UAAGGAAUAUUGGUCAAUGGACGCAAGUCUGAACCAGCCAUGCCGCGUGAAGGAUGAAGGUCCUCUGGAUUGUAAACUUCUUUUAUCUGGGACGAAAACGGGAUUUUUAUCUCAAUUGACGGUACCAGAGGAAUAAGCACCGGCUAACUCCGUGCCAGCAGCCGCGGUAGUACGGAGGGUGCGAGCGUUAUCCGGAUUUACUGGGUUUAAAGGGUGCGUAGGUGGGCUUAUAAGUCAGUGGUGAAAUCUCCGAGCUUAACUUGGAAACUGCCGUUGAUACUAUAGGUCUUGAAUUAUCUGGAGGUAAGCGGAAUAUGUCAUGUAGCGGUGAAAUGCUUAGAUAUGACAUAGAACACCAAUUGCGAAGGCAGCUUACUACAUAUAAAUUGACGCUGAGGCACGAAAGCGUGGGGAUCAAACA